CUUCCUCAACUUGCUGCGGGCAGAUGUAGUGGAUGUGUGCGUCGAUGGCCCCGGCGGUGAUGAUGAGUUUCUCACCGGCGAUGACUUCGGUUGAGGAGCCGAUGAUGAGUGAGGGGUGGACGUUCGCCAUUACGUCUGGGUUGCCGGCUUUGCCUAUCCCUGCUAUGAGUCCAUUUUUUACGCCGAUGUCUGCCUGGGUUUGGGGGGUUAGUUGGUGUGUAUGGACUUGGAAAAGGGAAUACCUUGUAAAUACCAGACCAGUCGAUGAUGAGCGCAUUGGUGAUGACUAGGUCCAGAGUCUCCGUGGAAGAGCGGUUGGUCGCUUGUCCCAUACCUUCUCGAAU
rnacentral:sRNA from 1 species